UUUUUUUUUUUUUUUUUUAAGGGGCCUAAGUCCCUAUAGUCCCAGCGUUUGGGAAGUAAGGAAGUUCAAGGCCAGAUGCAGCUAUAGAGAGGGUUUGAGGCAAGCCUUAACUAGAUGAAAUGCUGUCUCAGAAAUUAAAAUAAGCACUUAUUUUAGGUCCUUAGAAGGAACAGAAUAGAGCUGCUAAUAAGAGAAUUGAUGAAUAACAUGUUUUUCUGAUAACUAAGUCCAGCCAGUGAGUCCAGUGUCCUAGUGAUGCUAUGGGGAACUCUUCCAUUUGGACCAUUUCCCUUCAGGCCAAGAUGGACAACCAGGUGUUGGGCUACAAGGAUCUGGCUGCCAUCCCCAAGGACAAGGCCAUCCUGGACAUUGAGCGACCUGACCUCAUGAUCUAUGAGCCCCACUUUACCUAUUCCCUCCUGGAACAUGUAGAGCUGCCCAGAAGCCGGGAGGUGAGAAGGGAUCACGUGUGCAGGCGUGAGGGGAGCUGAGCGGGGAUCUUCCUGGCAGUCCUCCUUGGAGGCAGGCACAGGCUAUGCGCAGGAGUGAGCACUGUUCAGCCCCCAGCUGGACAGUGGUGACAUGGGGAGAGGUCCUAUAGGGAAAGGCUGGGAGAACAAAAUACACAGAAACAGCUCCAGAAAUUCUAGGCAAGGGAGAGGGGAAACAUUUUAGCCUCAGUUUGCCCUCUGUCACAUAGAAGAGCUGGUUCUUCUUAUGAACCUCAGAAAGCAGUAUAUGGGGCAAUGCUUGGUCAGGUGCUUUGUCACCUGUCUUCAAGGAAGGGGUCAUGGUCAUGGCGAUGCUUACCUUUGAUCCCUGUAUGCAGAGGCAAAGGCAAGCAGAUCUCCAGGGUUUGGAAGCCAGCCUGGUCUGUGUAGUGGGCAAAGGGCUACAGAGUGAAACUUUGUCUCAGAAAGAAAGAAAGAAAGUGGUCUGUGUAGUGGGCAAAAGGCUACAUAGUGAAACCUUGUCUGAGAGAGAGAGAGAGAGAGAGAGAGAGAGAGAGAGAGAGAGAGAGAGAGAGAGACUAUUAAAGUAAGGUGUGGCCAGGUGGCUCCGCAGGUGAAAGCACUUGGAUGCAUGUAAGCCGGCUGACUUAAGUGGGAUCCCAGAACCAAUGGUAGAAGGAAAGAACUGAGCCCUGGAAGCUGUCCCCUGCCCUCCACACAUGUGCUGUGGCAUGUGCGUGCCCACACUCACGCAAAGUAAAUAUCAAAACAAUACAAUUUGAAUUUUAGGAAACAAAAGAGGUCAUAUUGGAGUGAACAGCUGUCACCCUGGAAAACUUGAGUACCGAGUGGCCCAGGAGAUCUGACUCUUCCAGAGCUGCUCUGUGGCUUUGGUCCCUCCAUUCCUUACCAGGCUCUGCCACCAGGGUCAUACUUAGUACAGGGCACGAGGCACACUGUUCCCAUAUCCAAGCUUCACAUGAAAAGACAGAGAGAAUACUGGGCAGAAGAAGGAUGAAGGCCAGGCCAGAGAUUGGCAGGGACUCCAGAGGGAAGCAGGUUGGUUAGGACAGUAGGGGAAGCUGCGUAGAUGGGGGUGAAAUGGUCCCUCUGAGGGUCUAGGGUUUAAACCUACCUGUGACUCUGAUCAUUCUCUCCGUUCACAGUGCUCACUGUCACCCAAAUCCACAUCCCCCCCACCGUCUCCAGAGGUCAGUUGGCUUUCGUCCUGCUUUGUUUGGGCCCUCAGCCCCCUCCCCCAACAUGCCUAGCCCCAGCCCAGCAAAGUCCAGGGGAUGAUAGAGUCAGCAAAUCCUGGCUGGUUGGUCCCUGGCCAACUCAUCUGUCUGCCAGACCCAGGGACUCUCUUUAACCCUUUUUCUCUGGGUAGGCACCCUGAGCGGGCAGAUGGAGUCCUGGAAUGUGCUUCCUCUGCCCGUGACAUUGCCCUGGGGUUGGGAAGUGGGGACGCUGGUGUAGGAGGAUGGGAAAGGUAGCCUGAGGUAAAGCCAUGCACAUGGGAGUGGGAAGGGGUAUGGGGUGUAGGCUACAGGCUGCAUACUUCUGCAUAGGUGUGGGCGGAGAGCCGGACUCUUGGAAUCAUCUCUCAGGCUUCAACCCCAAGGACCACAGGGACCCCCAGGACCAGCCUGCCCCACUUCCACCACCCUGGUAGGUUUUAUUAUCAGCCUAGCUACGUUCUUUCCUUGGGACUUCAAUUCUCCUUCAGGACCCCCAGACCCCUUACUCUCUGGUCCCUACUCUUUGGGUUUAGAUCUAGCUGGACCCUACGGUACUAGGAUGCCAGGCAGAACUAGCGGUGAUAGUGGUCUUGCUAUCUCUUCUCACCUACCCAGAAAAGUGCAGGAAGUCCCUGCCUUCACAAGGUGUGGUCUGAGCUUAUGGCCCUGUUCAUUUUACCUCCAUUUUGUGCCCAGAGCCACCACCCCUGUCAUCGUGUCCCCUUUCUCAGCUGAUCUUGUUCUGUCUCUCAGAGACUACCCGCCCGGAUUCCAACAUCUACAAGAAGCCACCCAUCUACAAACAGAGAGGUGAGGGUUCCCCUGACUUCCUCCGUGCUUCUCCUGGCACAUCGCGGUGGGGUGGUGCUGAGAGCCGGGAAGGGAUGGAAGAAAAGCUUCUCCAGGCCUGUAAGGCCCGGGGCUCUCUCCCGUGGAUCAGCUGAGUUCUCCGUGGGUGUGAAGGAGAGGUGACAGAGCUGGAGCUGAGGGUGGCUGCGUGGUUAGCAGGGGUGGUAGGUGUGUGGACUGACCCUGGAUCUGUCUGCAGAAUCCGUGGGAGGCAGCCCUCAGAGCAAGCACCUCAUCGAGGACCUCAUCAUCGAAUCCUCCAAGUUUCCUGCAGCGCAGCCCCCUGACCCCAACCAGCCAGCCAAGAUAGAGACUGACUACUGGCCAUGUCCCCCGUCGCUGGCCGUUGUGGGUAGGAAAACCCGGGGAAAGGAGAGGAGGCCAAGGGUCCCCGUUCACUUCUCUUUCUUGGCCCGGUGAACCCAGUCCCAGCCCACCUCAAGCCUGUUUGUUUCUUCUCAGUCUUUUGUACUUUCCCCUAUUGACAGUUCAUUUCUUACCUCUCCCCUGUACUUCUUUGUGUUACUGUGCACAGCCUGGUCACCAUUUCUUCUCCUCUUGCUCAUUAUCAUUACCACCACCACCAUCAUCAUCAUUUGGUUUUUUGAGUCAGGGUUUCCCUGUGUAACAGCCCUGGCUAUCCUAGAACUCACUUUGUACACCAGGCUAGCCUAAACUCAGAGGUCCAUCUGCCUCUGCCUCCAGAGUGCUGGGGUUAAAGGCAUGGCCCACCACGCCUGGCCCUCAUUAUUAUUUCUUUUUUAAGAUUUAUUUAUUUAUUAUAUGUAAGCACACUGUAACUGUCUUCAGAUAUUCCAGAAGAGGGCAUCAGAUCUCAUUAUGGAUGGUUGUGAGCCACCAUGUGGUUGCUGGGAUUUGAACUCAGGACCUUCAGAAGAGCAGUCGGUGUUCUUAAUCGCUGAGCCAUCUCGCCAGCCCUCAUUAUUAUUUUUUUAAAGAUUUGUUUUAUUUAUUUUAUGUAUGUGAGUACACUGGUGUACUCUUCAGACACACCAGAAGAGGGCAUCGGAUCCUAUUACAGAUGGUUGUGAGCCACCAUGUGGUUGCUGGGAACUGAACCCAGGACCUCUGGAAGAGCAGUCAGUGCUCUUAACCACUGAGCCAUCUCUCCAGCCCUCAUUAUUAUUUUUUAAGGUUUUAUUUGAUUUGAACUAUAUGUACAUGUGUGUAUGUGUGUGGGAGGGUAUGUGCAUGGAAGUGCAGUGCCUAGGAGGCCCAAGGCAAAGUUACAGGGGGCUGUGAAGGCACCCCGUGCGGGUUGCAAAUGGAACUCAGGUCCUCUGGAAGAACAGUGCAUGGCCUUAACCACUUAGCCAUCUCUCUAGCUCCUGUCACUUAAUGGACAUCUCUCAAGUUCUUGCUAUAGCCAGACCCUGUGAUAGGAGAUUUGGAAAAGAGAAGUAAAUGAGAGAAGGGUCUUACUCUCCAGGGAAUUUAAAUAUGUGUUUCUUAUCCAGUUUAUGAAUUUUCUGGGGACUAAGCAUUCAAAUAUAUGGGGCCUAUAGGGGGAUGAUUCUUAUUCAAACUACCACAGACACUAUCUCCAAAUCAACAACAAUAACAAAAAUGUAGGUUUUCUAGAAAUGAAACUAGACUCAAGGUGU
rnacentral:lncRNA from 1 species